UGGGACAAUCUUCCCCGUACUUUCCUCAUGUACUACACCAAUUUCUUGUCAUCCCCAGAGUGCUACUUCCACACUGUUGCCUGCAGCCAUAAGGACUACCAGAACACAAGCGUGAAUCAUAACCUGCAUUAUAUAAGGCGGGAUAGCCUAGGGGUGGGCAAACGGGUACAGGAACCGCGGGUCGGGGCGGGUAAUUAAGGUUCGGGGCGGGUACGGGCCGGUUCCAAUUAUUUAAUAGGGGAAACGGGGCGGGCCGGGCCGGGCCCUUGAUAUUUUAGGGACGGGCCGGUUCCAAAUGUAUAGAAAAACGGGGCCCCGGACCGACCCGUUUUUAGACCAAAUGGACGGACGAGAUUGAAAAGGAACAUAACGUCCAAUCUUCACCGUUGAUUUUACCCUAGUCUACUCUCUUUCUUUCCUCUCUGAUCGACUUCGACUCCUCUAAAUCUGUCUUCUUCGGUUCUUCCGCUCUUCCGCAGCUCCGCUGUUCCGUCUUCGACACUCUCCGUCUCUCGCCGUCAUGCUCUGCCGUCUGUGACUCAAGUCACUCAACUGUCUGUCCUCUCUGAUCGAGUAUUCUUCGAUUCUUCUCCUCGACGACAUCGGACAUCCUACCCAGACUUAGAGAACCCAGGCACCGCGGUCCCAUACCACCCAUCUUCUCGUUCUCCUUCUUUCGUCCCCAACGACAUUACUGCCGUCGCGACCACGAACACUCCAUCGCCGCCGCCAGUUCAGGUGAAUUCUUUACUGUUUGCUGAAUUCUUCUAUUUUUUGUGUUCUUUGGUAUAUAUUUUGGGGAAGAAUUGUUAAUUGUGUGGAUUUUGGACCAAUUUGGUAAUUGUUUAUCUAAUUGGUGAUCUGGGUUCUUCGGGAUUUUGCAGGUGGCUCGGGCUUCCGCAUUCUCCUUUCCUUUGGACUCGUAUACGGAAGCAUCUUCUCAACUGCUCAAGUAUCUCCAGACUCCAGGUACCUCGUUUCCUUUUUUUUAUUUCAAUUGACGCACCUUUUUAUUUUAUGAGAUAAAUUUGUUUUUUUUUAUUACAAAUUUGUAUUGGGUUGGUUUAAAUUUGUUCUUUGUAUGAUUCCUUGUUCUGAUGUCUUCUGAUUGAGGUGGUAUGAGGCUGUGCAGCUGUGUUUUUUUCUUUUCUUCGUAAUGAUUUUAUUAAAAGGAGAUUUUUAAAUGACUGAUGUUGUGGGGGUUCUGUGAGUGUGAGUCGAUAAGUUUUUAUAAUUUGAUUGGGGAAUUUAGUUGCUUCAGAUCUGUUUGCCAUUUGAAAAAUUGGGUAUUGAAUAUUAAAAUGGUGUGUUUUGUUUUGUUCUCUUCCAUUAGGUAGUCCGAGAGCAGAGAGGGAUGCAGUCCGAGACGGAGCAGGUGCCACCAGAGUCGGAAAGCAUGGAGGUGUUGCUUGUGAGGAUGUUGGCCAUGGUGAGAAACGUGGCGGUGCCGGCGCGGGGCUCGGUGGAGAAGCUGUGGUGCGACAACGAAGGCAGCAUGGCGGUGGUUCUGGAGUCCUUUCCGUAGCGGUUUCGCAAAAAAAAAAAAAACCAAGGACCGGCCCGUUUCAAACGGGCCGGGUUCGGUCCGAUUCCUGUAAUGAAAUAUGAUGUACCCGACUCGGCCCGGCCCGUUUCUUUUAACCUCCGGUUCCUUGAAAAUUAGGUCCGGCCCGGCCCGUGCCCAGCCCUAGGAUAGCCCACUGAAGGCAAAUCCAAUCAUUCUAACGUUGGAACAUUACAACGACAUGGUCCAAAGUGGAGCUCCUUUUGCCGGCACAUUUGCCAGGGACGAUUGUGAAACUUGUUGCAAAGGGGUAGAGCAACUCAUUGUGAAACUUGUUGGUUCCGAAAAUAUCAGGCCUAAGCAGUGUAAAUAGUCUUGUUAAGCGCUGUCCCCCUAUGAAUCGUUUCUGCUACGAUAUGACGCAAUGUAUCCGUAUUACGGAUUGUCAUACUGUAACAACUAAGGAUUCAAAGACGAAAGUUUUUUCAUCACAAAAAGAAAAGAAAUAAAA
rnacentral:lncRNA from 1 species